GCCCGGAUGGUGAAAUUGGUAGACACGCACGUUUCAGGGGCGUGUGGCGAGAGCUGUGCAGGUUCGACUCCUGUUCCGGGCA
rnacentral:tRNA from 1 species